UUUUGCCAGUCAGGCUCCUGUCUGGAGUCUAGCUCUCAGCUAGAUCCAGGAUCUGGCCAGGGGCUUGACUUCAAGACUCUCA
rnacentral:pre_miRNA from 1 species